UUGUCAAACUCUCAAUAUGGAUUCCAGGAAAGAAAAUCAACGGCAGAUAAAUAUGAAAUUACGUAUCCGCAGCUGUUUUCUUCACAAUGCACACCUGGAAUGAAGUGAAUAAAAUAAUGAAAUUACUGACAACAAUUUCUGCGGCGUCUCAAUAAAAAGAAAACCAAUUAUGCUUCCGAAACCCUGUCGAACUUAAAAGGUAACAGACAGCGAUGCUUCAAGACAACAAACGGGAUAACAACCCUCUUCCACAACAAAACAUGCACGAGACGCUGGAGGUGUACAAGCUGCAGACUUUAUCAUGCGCCAGUAUGUUUAGGAGUUGGCCAACUGCUGACACGGGUCACGGAGUUUCAAAUUUUAAUAGCUAAAGAGGUUGCGCCUCUUUACACCAACAUCUCACAAGAGUAAUUCUAUAUAGGUGUAAGAAGGAUUUCAGAUACUUUUUGUAACAAUACAUAACAAUGAACAUUUCUCGCUACCUCUAAAAAUAGUGAAGACUCCUACGAGCAGUUAAUAAUCGUGCUCACCCUGCCCGAUAGCUUGAGAGAGCUAGAGGCAGAUUGAGAGCGUUUUUGCUAAUACGUAUGUAUGCUUUUACGUAGAACAAAUAAUAGAAUUUCACGUAUAUCACUACUGUGAGAGUGUUAUAUGAUGCGCAUGUGUGCAAGUCAUAUAGACCAUAAUUGUUUUUUGGGGCUUAAGGGCUUUUUUAUUUCGUAUGUAAAUUUUAUUCACUUGUUGUGCAUUGUUGUCAGUUAUUGUCACCUGUUAGGACAGGAUUAUUUUUAUUAAUAAAUAAAUAAAAUAUUUCACUGAGUUUCACGUAAUGUUUUGUUUGAUUAUUUUCGUAGAGAAUGCUUAAUACGCCGAGUUGUAUAGAAUAAAAAUUAAAUAGGA